rnacentral:tRNA from 1 species
AGAAUCCUAGGUUAAAUUAAACCAUCAGCCUUCAAAGCUUAAAUUAAACUUUAUUGUUUGGAUUCUG